UGCGGCUGGAAGAACAUGGCAAAGUGGUGCUGGUGCUGGAGAGAGCCUCUCAGGGCGCCGGCCCUUCCCGACCCCCAACCCCAGGCAGGAACCGGUAAUACACCUGCCAUGCUCCCUCUCCACACUGUCCCUCCUUUCAUUUCCCAAUCUUUGCUCCCUUCCCCUGUGUCAUAUCCCUGCCCUCUGGCCACUUGUGGAUGGAGAGGUAUUGAGGGACCAGGAUGUGCCUGCUGAGCCAGUCUCCUCCCUGCCCUAAGGUGGGACAGGGCUGGCUAAUGGAGAAAAAUGAUGUAAUUGAUUAUUGAUGUCUGCCCAGGUGUGGGAGUGGGGAGUAGUGGCACCAGUGCCAAAGAUUGGCCAUUUCUGCUAGGUAUACAGUGAUGUCUGGCACCCCAGAGAAGAUCCUAGAGCUUCUGUUGGAGGCCAUGGGACCAGAUUCCAGUGCUCAUGACCCAACAGGUGGGUGGCCCUGCUUGGAUGUUGUGGUUCCCUUGACUGGUGCCCACCUUCCAUGUGGAGCCUGCGGGUGGCAGCGAGCAGGAGCGCAGCACCUACGUCUGCAACAAGAGGCAGCAGAUCUUGCGGCUGGUCAGCCAGUGGGUGGCCCUGUAUGGCUCCAUGCUCCACACUGACCCUGUGGCCACCAGCUUCCUCCAGAAACUCUCAGACCUGGUGGGCAGGGACACCCGACUCAGCAACCUGCUGAGGGAGCAGUGGCCAGAGAGGCGGCGAUGCCACAGGUUGGAGAAUGGCUGUGGGAAUGCAUCUCCUCAGAUGAAGGUG
rnacentral:lncRNA from 10 species